GGGAAUAUGGAUAUUACAACCUUACUCAUGACUGAUCCGCCUCGACAGCAGCCGGCUUCUUCACAAACAGGACCAGCAACUACAUCGGACUCCACUAGUGGUACAACCACAGGUCCUGCCCUUGCUCAAGAACCUUAAGUAGAAGUUCCAGAUGAUGAACUGGUAGAAUUAAAUUUUGAACUUCCAAACACUCAGCAAUAAACCAAGCCUAGUUCUGGUCCGUGGUACACUUUAAAUGGCAUUCCUCUAUCUAAAUGGAGAGAUCGUCUCGCUGAGUUUAAA
rnacentral:misc_RNA from 1 species